rnacentral:rRNA from 1 species
CCUACGGGUGGCAGCAGUGAGGGAUAUUGGUCAAUGGGGGAAACCCUGAACCAGCAACGCCGCGUGAGGGAAGACGGUUUUCGGAUUGUAAACCUCUGUUCUCUGUGAAGAUGAUGACGGUAGCAGAGGAGGAAGCUCCGGUGAACUAAGUGCCAGCAGCCGUGGGAAUACGUAGGGAGCAAGCGUUGUCCGGAUUUACUGGGUGUAAAGGGUGCGUAGGCGGCUUUGCAAGUGCGGAGUGAAAUCCAUGGGCUUAACCCAUGAACCGCUUUUGAAACUGCAGAGCUUGAGUGGAGUAGAGGUAGGCGGAAUUCCCGGUGUAGCGGUGAAAUGCGUAGAGAUCGGGAGGAACACCAGUGGCGAAGGCAGCAUGCUGGCCUCUAACUGACGCUGAGGCACGAAAGCGUGGGUAGCGAACAGGAUUAGAUACCCUUGUAGUC